rnacentral:ncRNA from 1 species
AAUUUCCUCAGUUCAAUUUCUUCAGUCUGUUUGUCUUCAUCAUGUGUUAUCCUGUGUUUACGCUUUCCGUACUCUGUGCUUGUCUUCAUUUCAUCAUGAUGACCAUGCUUGUGUUCUGCUGUGCAUACUUUUGAGUACUUAUUCUGCUGCAAGCAGUUCUUCGCUAAGGAAUUUCCUCACUAGCAAAUUCCUCAGUGAAGAAUUCAUAAAAAUCGCCUAUUCACCCCCCUAGUCGAUAUAACGCAUUUUCACCAGUUGACGGCAUUUGUAUUUUAUGUCAUAGGUGAUAUUUUUUUUAUUUAUGAAAGACAAACAAUUGCGAAAGCAUUUGUCAAGAAUGUUUUCAUUAAUCAAGAGUAGAAGUUGAGGGGCUCGAAGACAAUCAGAUUUUGUCAACAAAGAUUCGGUGAAUGUUGCUUAUGGGACUCCACCAACACCUUAUAAAGAUCAAAAUCCUUGGAUU